GUGGUCUAUUCUGUGGUACCUAUACGGAAAAGGGACUGAAGAACCCCCUGAAGAUCAUAUCCUGCACAAUUAUGCCUUCGGAUUGUUCAAUGGCUUGAAGGAUUAGCUUCUAAAGCUCUUGACUUGGAAAGCAAGGUUUGAGGAUCUCAUGUGGGUACCUAUCUUCCCAAUUCUGGAAUUUGGCACCAUACACAACGUUUUCUCAAGAAAGGAGCUUCCAGUUCUAACACUGUUCACCACUUAGAUUUUGAUGCUCCAACAUGUGAACAUGCUCACCAGUUACCUGAUGACAAGAAGCUAGAUGAAUCCCUUCUUGAAGAUGUCUGGACUCUAUUAAGGGCUGGAAGACUGGAGGAGGCAUGUGACCUUUGUCGAUCUGCUGGACAGCCAUGGAGAGCUGCCACGUUAUGCCCGUUUGGAGGAACAGACCUAUUUCCAUCUGCUGAAGCCCUGGUGAAGAAUGGAAAAAAUAGAACUCUUCAAGCCAUUGAACUGGAAAGUGGUAUUGGUCACCAGUGGCGUCUUUGGAAAUGGGCUUCCUAUUGUACAUCAGAGAAAAUUUCUGAACAGGAUGGUGGUAAAUAUGAAACAGCUGUAUAUGCUGCCCAGUGUAGCAACUUAAAGCACAUGCUUCCAAUCUGUACGGACUGGGAGGUAUAAAGGAACUUUUAAAGAUUGCCCCUCUGCUG